UUGCUAGGGUUGGCAGUUUUGCGGGUUUUCCAUUUCUGGGAAUAUAAUUUAAUCCUUUAAACUUUGAAACAGCUUCAAUGAUAUAUCAAUACAACGUAGCAUAUAG